rnacentral:lncRNA from 1 species
GUCGCGUCACAGGGCUGGGUCCUGAGCUGGGGUCUCCUGAUAGGGUUCUUUAUCCUGUUCCCUUGCCUUCACCGCCACUGGUCCAGCGUUGACGAGCAGGACGAGGUCUGUGGCCUCAGUAUGCACUCCUUCCAGGCGUGAUGGGCAGAGACGGGCUGGCUCCCAGGUGGACCCCUAGAGGUGAAUGAGUCCCUCAGGCUCUAGUCCCCAGGGAACAUCUCGAGGGGGUCUGUAAGAAAACCCUGAAGAUCUGUGGGGUGACCCUCUCCAAGGGAACACUGCUGAUGACCCCCAUCUGAGUUCUGGUCCCCGAUCACAAGACCAGAACCUGAGGAGUUGAAUUCUGAAAGGCGCCAGGAUUGCUGCCUGCCAAGUGGACGCUGCAAGAGGUCUCAGUCACUGGAAACGGGCCUUUUCAGUUUGGAUGGACUCCACCAGUUGCCCCCACAAUCCUCGUCCCAGCGCUCCGCUAGGACAGCCUGCCUCGGUUCUUUCCCAGCACUCUGAGUUCUUCAGUGUGCCAUUCCUGCAAACCCGGGGAAGGAGCAGCACUGAAUUCUUGUGUUCAUCUGCAUCUCCCUGGCCAGCAAGCACACAGUUGUUUGUAGGUGGGACUAAGGCAGGGGUUCUCAACCAGGGGUGAUGGGACGCCCUCCAGCAUCAACGUAGCCAAGUCUGCAGACUUUUCUGGUUGUCAGGCUGGGUGAGCGGGGCUUCUGGCCUCUAGAGUGUGGAGACCUGGGAUGCAGCUGACCAUCUGGCAGCGCACGGAACACCCCCCAACAAAGAAGCUCCAUGGUGCAAAGUGGAGAAACCUGGAGAAGAGAAACACACAGUCUAAAAGCUACCCCUGUAACUGAGGGCGCCCUGGAAGAGCACACGUGGUUUUUAUGGAAAACAGUGAUGAUGAGACAUUUCUCAGCAAAGCUUAUCUCUGUACAUGAGUUGUGAGAGCUGCCCUGUUGAAUGAUGUCCACAAAGGUGGUGAGGACUUCCUGUCCACGGCGAUUAGCGACACGAUUGCCUGCGUGUCGUUCUCCAUCUCCAGCCUCAGCAGUAAGAACCUGGUCAGUGGGAUUUGCAGCCCUCAGCCCCUCACUGACCACAACGCCCUUCUGUCAGCUGCUGUCCCUCUCCCGUCCACGCUGUGCUGGGCACAUUUCCCACCUGAACAGUCCCAGGCAUUCCUUCGCUUUGUGUGCCUUGCCUUUAUUUCACAGAGUCUGGGGAGAUGCUAUAAGAUGGUGAAUAGAAAGGGUCUGAGAUGAGAACAUCACCAACUGUCAGCUCCUCGGAAGACGAUUCACCCACUGACCAAGCAGCGCUGGGUUUUCACCCACAGCGGUUAAACCCGAGCCCAGUCCAUCAGCGGACGGUGAGUCUCGGGUGAGGGGUCUGGGGCUGAUGUGUGUGGUUCUGAGGUCCAGGCCUGUGUCCGUUUCCUGCAGCUUCUGUAACAAGCUGUCACGUGCUGAGCAGCUCAGAACAGCAGAAGUGUCUCCUCUCAUGGCUGUGGAGGCCAGAAGUCCAAAAUCCGGAGGAGAGCCCGUUCUUUGCCUCCCCCAGCUUCCGGCAGCUGUCACUGCUCCUGGCUGUGGCCACGUCGCUGCAGUCCCUGCCUCUUGUCACAGUGCUCUCUGUCCUUCUUAAGGAUGCUGGUCACUGACUUGGGGGCUGCCCAGAUAACCCAGGAUGGUCUCUUCAUCUUAGGAGCCUUAAUUACAUCUCCAGAGACCUUUAUUUUCCAAAUAAGAUCACAUUCUCAGAUUGCCAGGAUUAGGACAUGGACAUGUCUUUGUGGGGGAGGGAGCACCAUUCAGCUCACCACGUGUCUUCAGCAGUUUAUGGUGGGUCUUUUUCAGUGAGGCGAUCGUAGCAGGACCUGGCAAAGUUCUCAUAGUAACAGCUUAGACUGAUGGGUGCCCCGAGGAAGGAGCUGGAGGGAGUUUUGAGGAAGACACUCCGUUUGAUGAGCCCCUGCUUGGUCCAGCUGAGCAGUCACAUGUCCUGGACUGGGCCUGUGUGAGAACCUGUGAUUCGGAUAAGCUGAUUGUGAAGAAGUUCUGGAAGCAAGUGACGUCAGGGGGAGUUGCUGUUGGGAUCCAACAUCUGGUGGGGUUUCAGCCACACUUCUGGGGUGUCAGCACCACACUGCCACGAGGCAGGGCCUGGAAUGGCCAAGCUGCUCCUUGGGGGCAAGAAAACAGACCCCAGUUACCCAGGAAGGAGCUGUAGGCUCCCACUGAGC